UGAAUAUAUGAUGACACCUCGGUAAUGCAGACUUCCAUGCACAGUGGAGAAGCCAACCUUGGACAGCUGCGUGUGCA